rnacentral:tRNA from 1 species
AGUCGACAGCCGAGUGGUUAAGGCGACAGACUUGAAAUCUGUUGGGAUAUUCCCGCGCAGGUUCAAAUCCUGCCGACUA